GACGAACGCUGGCGGCGUGCUUAACACAUGCAAGUCGAACGGAAAGGCCCUGCUUUUGUGGGGUGCUCGAGUGGCGAACGGGUGAGUAACACGUGAGUAACCUGCCCUUGACUUUGGGAUAACUUCAGGAAACUGGGGCUAAUACCGGAUAGGAGCUCCUGCUGCAUGGUGGGGGUUGGAAAGUUUCGGCGGUUGGGGAUGGACUCGCGGCUUAUCAGCUUGUUGGUGGGGUAGUGGCUUACCAAGGCUUUGACGGGUAGCCGGCCUGGGAGGGUGACCGGCCACCUGGGGACUGCGAUACGGCCCAGACUCCUACAGGAGGCAGCAGUGGGAAAUAUUGCCCAAUGGGCGGAAGCCUGUUGCAGCAACGUCGCGUGCGGGAUGACGGCUUUCGGGUAGUAAACCGCUGUCGCCUGUGACGCAGCGGUAGUGACGGUAAUGGGUAAAGAAGCACCGGCUAACUACGUG
rnacentral:rRNA from 1 species